AAGCGUUUGCGGUCGCCGUGGGUGCAGCGGGUGGGCCCGCCGGGGCUGGGUGGGGGGGCGUGUGAUGACGGUAAUGGCGACGAGAUGCUCUACUCACGCGGCAUCCUUUAAUCCUCACAGCAGCCCUGCGUGGAGAAACUACAGUAACGUUAUCACGUUAAGGCGGGAAACUGAGGCAUGGGAGUAUUUAGUAAGGUUCCUGGGCCGUAGAGCUGCGGUGUGCGGCCGCCUGAUCCACCUGAUCCGUAUGACUCCCGUACUCAACCAGCCUAUGUUUCCUACCAGCGAAUUUUUUUUUUUUUUUUUUUGAGACAGUCUGGCUCUGUGGCUCAGGCUGGAAUGCAGUGGUGCGAUCUCGGCUCACUGCAGCCUUGACCUCCCAGGCUCGGGUGAUCCUCCCUUCUCAGCCUCCCGAGCAGCUGGAACCACAGUCGCCUGCCACAACCAGGCUCGGCUAAUUUUUGUAUUUUUUGUAGGGACGGGGUCUCGCCAUGUUGCCCAGGCUGGUCUGGAACUCCUGGACUCAGGCGAUCCUCCUGCCUCGGCCUGCCAAAGUGCUGGGAUUACAGGCGUGAGCCACCACGCCGGGCCUCUCCCCGGGAAUGCUGUGGUAGAGGGACCCGCAGAGGCCCCGAGGCUGCCUGCAUGUGUGUGUUGGGAGGAUCUGCGCUGAGGGUAGGUAGGAGUUGGGCAGGCCAGGAAGGGAAGGAGACAGAGGGCAUGUCCCAUGCCCGUGCAGAGGGAGGACACACAUGGUAGACCAGGAUGAGGACAAGGGCAGGCUCAGUGUGUGCAAAGGGGACAGUGGUUUGGGAUUUGCCUGCAGAUGCCCGAGCCUCCAAAGGACUUGUGGGCCACAGGGAGACCCUGGGGGAGUUCAAGCUGAGGAGUGGAGAGGGCUUUGGGCUGGUCAGCAGGUGCUCAGAGGAGAGGGGCUGGCCCUGGAGAGAAGGGAGGUCUUGGGAUGGUGGCCCACACCUGACCCUGGCCCUGCACCGGGUGAUUCCUGCGUGGAUGCCUGCGGGGAUUCCUGCGUGGAUUGGGGAAGUCCUGCAGCAUUACAGAAUUGUUACCCAAUGCCAGGGGCUUGGUCCAGAGUCCUGUUGCUAGAUGCACAGAAAGCAAAUCACCGAGAUACUUAUUUGAAGACUGAAAGGAAGAAAAGAUUGGUAGACACUAAAUAGUUGCUGCACAAAAACUUCAGUAUAUUUAGUUGCAAUCACCGUGAACCUCUGAUCACAGCUGGGUCAGGGCUUGUCUGAUGUGGGGAAAGUGGACACCCCCAGUGGAUUCAGACGUCACUUCACGGCAUGAGACCAACAUUACCCACAAUGGCAGUGGCAGCAGAUGGAGGAGAUGGAGCAGAAGGCAGCAGAGGGCGUCCCAGG